rfam:Cavia porcellus supercont2_27 genomic scaffold, whole genome shotgun sequence.
GUGCUUGCUUCAGCAGCACAUAUACUAAAACUGGAACAAUACAGAGGAGACUAGUGUGGCCCCUGUGCAAGGAUGACACGUAGGUUCUUGUAGCAUCCAGUUUUUAC